GUAAAACAAUGUGCAUUAAAUCCAUGUGUAUUGUGGGGAGAAAUAAUUACCAAAAAAUCCUAUUGUUAACAAGCAAUUGUAACUCAGAGGAAUUUCAGACACCUUAUACCUGCUGCCUCUAAGAGACAAUCUCUCAAUCAUUCACUUCUGUAAAUAUUUCUUCAGAGUGGGCUACUUUCUAGGGCAAAUAUAAACAGAAAUGCAAUUGUUCUACUCUAUUCCCUCCUACAUUUUUCAAAAUCCAGCUGGAAUAUUUUCAUAAGUCUUUUAUAUGAUAAAUGUGCCUGUUUUUUACUCAGCCAAAGGCUGUGCCAUUUCAGCUGUUCUGGAAUUUUUUUUUAGGCUGAAUUUAUGGCAAAAGAAAACUAUCAGCAAGUUCUUAGCCAGGCUUCUCCACUUUAUUAGCCUUGGAGCUUUAGCUAGAAACAGAAUAAUGGUAAUGUAUAUAUUGCUCUUAUCCAGUUGUUUAAUAUACCAUGACCAUGCUUUCUUCAUUGUAGAGUAAAGCCAAAACAGAACUGAAAGGCAGGAAAAUUACUUUGUUUCUGCAACGUGUCACUGCUGGGGCAAGGGGGUGUGAUCAGACCAGACUCAUAGCUAUUUUGCGAUUAUUUCAGACUGUUUUAUCAACCAAGUAUGACUUGUGGAACAGAAUAUUUGAAAACAAAGCAAAGGGAACAAGAAUUAAAGGGAAAAUUCAGUGUAUCUAUAAAGGCCACCUACAGGGCAGCAGCGUUUGCAUGGUUCUUGGGAUGGCAGUUACGAUUUUCACAGCCUUUUAAAAAGGCUCCCCUUACCACUAAUACACAGGGCAGAGUGGAAAAAACGAUGAUCCUCCAGAAAUUUACUGUUCUCAGGGAUGACCCCACACUGGUGAGCAACAUUGAGACAACAGUUUGGAGUCACAGAACUGCCAUGACUGUAUCUGGAGAGGAAAAAAAAAAAGGGUAUUUGUUACAGUGAGUUAAAUAGAGUAAAGCUGGAACUGAGCGUAUGUCUGCUAGACGUGAAGUCAAACCUCUGACUUAAUGCUCUCAACAUUCAUCUUCUCAUUGUCCAGAGACACCCGUUAAACUUUUUUUCCCAGUGAGGCAGGAUAAAUGUAAGCGUAACUUAAGGGCUCAGAUGUCCUUGAAUAAGCCAUUUCAGAGCUUUCUAUCCAAUAAAAAUUGAUGACUCCUACUUCGUGAGUGUGCUGGGAGAAUGUACACAAUGAAGAAAGGCUCCAACAUCCCUGGUUAAUAGGGCCAUCAAGUGAUGUUCCCGGCAGAAUUGCAGAUCCCGUGAAAUGAUUUGGGCAGGCCACAGAUGUCCUGAUCAAAGUUUUCCAUUCAUUACCAUGGGCUCUAUGCCCAAAACUACUCAACAAGCACUGCUGAAUACUAAACACAGCUUACUUUGUUUGUACGUGUAUUCACUGCAUUCUAACUCCUUGUUUGCUUGAAGAAAUCACAAGAAUGCAUGGCAUAAAGCAAGACAGAGCUCUUUUAUUUUUAUCACUGUCCUGAAUGGCAGAAUCUGGCAGCCCAGAACUGUGGCUUUGGUGUAGUACCUUGUUGUGGCUUUUGAAGACUCGUUCAAAUAAGCACUGCAUUCCUUAGAUCCAAAUCUAGCAAUUCUGACUGUACUUUUUUCUAACUAUAGUCCUGCAGACAAAAUAUAGCUGCCUUUGUUGCUAUUGAGUUUAGCCAGAAUUAGGAGAUCAACAUCCGAUAGCUGCUUUGAUGAUGGCAGCUGGUAGUCACUUUUUUGAAACUUGGCAGCAGAUAUAUCGCCAAUCUUUCCAAUAUCUCUCCACUCCACCCUGCAAAAAUAACACUCUCAGGAGGGAACAUUAACGCAACAAGAACUUAAUGCAUCAUCCUCUUUGCCUCUGCUAACCACAGUAUGCAAUUACCACAAGGGCCAUCGCUGAACCCAUCCAUGGUUGGAUGGCUGACUCACUCUGCCUGAUCUGUGCCAAAAUGUUUUUACUGUUACUUGCAGAAGUUCUGCUUGAUGUAGAUGAGCUCAUACACGCAUUGUACGGCACCGGAAGAAGACAUGUGAGAGCACUGGAAUCAGAAAAAGCAGCUUGGGACCCCAGAGAACUCUCUACACCAUAUAUUGAGCCAGGAUCUUCCCAUAUAACAACCCAACUUGAAACUGAAUCAAAACCACUCCCUGCAGCUGACAAAGACAGUAUGCUGCAAGAGUUAAAUCACUCAGCUGGAAACCUGCUGGCAAAAAAUUUGCUCAAACUUAGAAUUGGUGGGGUUUUUUCCCCUUCUCUUAGCAAAAGCACUGGUUUCCUCAUCACCUUGGCUUAUUUAUAGCUAGAGACACAUGAAACCUAUGGGUCCACUCAGGGUGGGGCUGCAAAGGGGCUGCCAAGGGAAGGGCUGGGCUGUAGAAAGGGUCCUCUGACCCCUCCAUCAUGUCAGAGAUAAGGUUAAUGUUAUGAGAGACACAGCCUCAGGGUCCAGCUGGAGGGGGGCCUGUGGUGGGCUGCCAAAGGAGCAGGUAGGCAUGAAAAUGAAUUCUCCCUUGACGACUGCUACGUCUUGGAAAUGGUUUGGUGUUCCCAGGCUAAGCACAGCCCACACUUAUGGUUAGAUUCUGUAUCACCAUGUAUUGCUUGACAUACAUUUUUAAUUUGUCAAGUUUUCUUUCACUUAGACUGUUUGACUUCUGUGUUUUGUGAUUUACUUGCCUAUUUCUCAUUUGGGUUUCCCUGACCCUAGAAUUACAAACAUGGCUACACAUACAGACUGCAUGUCCUUGUGUGCCAGACUCCAUCACACAUGCUGUAUCAGUGGCUCUGUCACUAUGACCCCUUCCAUCAGGACUCUUUGGAAUCCCCUGUAUCACACUGGGAAGCACGAAAGCCUGAGCAGUCUGGCUGCUGUUGGAUACGCUUCAAAAGCCUUUUGAGUAAGAUAUGUAACAACUUCCAAUAGAUUUGUCUUCUGGAUAAACACGAAACCAAAAAUCAGUUUAUUCCACAAGAUGGAUGCAUUCUGGAUAUCCUUGCUGCCAUGAUUCAAG